AAUGGGCAUGUGAUGAAUCAUGAAUCUCAUAACAAAUGGGUAAUUUGCGUCUGAACGUUUCAGUGAUGCUAAAUCACUAAGUUGCCAAUU